rnacentral:rRNA from 1 species
CGCGUAGGCGGGUAUUUAAGUCAGAUGUGAAAACUCUGGGCUCAACCUGGAGACUGCAUUUGAAACUGAAUAUCUUGAGGGCAGGAGAGGAAAGUGGAAUUCCUAGUGUAGCGGUGAAAUGCGUAGAUAUUAGGAGGAACACCAGUGGCGAAGGCGACUUUCUGGAUUGUACCUGACGCUGAGGCGCGAAAGCGUGGGGAGCGAACG